GUGCUUUCGUUGAAGUUCGCGUUGCAUAGUAAAAUGAAUUCAUUGGUCCGUUCCGUUUCCAAACUUUCAAUCCAGGUGUUCUCAUCGAGGUCCGCGUUGAUGUUUUAAUUCAAUACAAAAUUACGUUAAAAAAAAUCUAAUUUAGACUCUACGAUGUCCGAUUAAACAAAAAAAAUUUAGAGGAAUAGCACUUUUACGAUUCUUCCAACACAACAAAAGUAUCUAUCUUUUACGCUUAUGGAAUUUAUUACUAUUUAUAUUAGAACAGGGAUUUGUUUACUAUGCAAUUUAUUGAAAUAGUAACAUUAACAUAUUAUUGUAUUCGCACCC
rnacentral:lncRNA from 1 species